AAUAGUUAUGUUCUUGAAACCCAAAGAAUUUGGCGGUAUUUCAUUCUUUUUAGAGGAACCUGUCCUAUAAUUGAUAUUCCACGAGGUUAUUUACUUGAUCUUGUAUUCAUUUUGUAUACCUCCGUCAUCAGAGUAUCUUUUUAGAGUUAAUGUUCUAUUAUACUAAAUAUAUUAUGUCAGGUCAAGGUGCAGAUUAUGAUCAAGUAGAGAUGGGUUACAAUAAAACUAUUUAUACGGAUUAUUAUUUUUGAUGAUAAAAUGAAGGAGGAUUUAAAAGUAAAUUUAUUUUCUUGAUAUUUUGAUGAUGGCUCUGAAAUAUGCACACAUCGCCCGUCGCUCUUAUUUUAAAAUAAGAUAAGUCGUAACAUAGUAGAGGUACCGGAAGGUGUUUCUAGAA
rnacentral:rRNA from 1 species